CUUAACUUGAAGCUAUCUGUCCCACAAGGUUAUCAUUUCUCGAAGGUGAAUGAGGCCAAAAAUGUGCUGAAACUUUGCGAUUUUGGUAAUGCUAUGUUUGCUGGGAAGAAUGAGAUUACACCAUAGUUGUAUCUCUGUUCAUUCUUGGCUUGCCGUAUAACCAUGCUUUGGACAUAUGGUCAGUUGGCUGCUGCUUGUACGAGCUAUAUACAGGAAAGGUCCUCUUCCCUGGACCAUCAAACAAUGACAUGCUUCGGCUUCAUAUGGAGUUAAAAGGUCCAUUUCAUAAAAAGAUGCUCAGGAAGGGAGCCUUUACAGAUCAUCAUUUUGAUCAGGAUCUGAAUUUCCAUGCCACUGAAGAAGAUCCUGUUACAAAGAAGGCUGUUAAUCGACUGCUUGUGAAUGUUAAGGCAAAGGAUUUUAGUAGUCUUAUUUCAAGCUAUACUGGUGAGGAUCCCAAGAUGCUGGCCAAUUUCAAAGAUCUGCUUGAUAGAAUUUUUGUGCUCGAUCCAGAGAAAAGAUUGACAGUAUCUCAAGCACUGAGUCAUCCAUUCAUUACCGGCAAGUGAAUAAAGAUGCCUGUUGAGUUAGCUAUGCAUUUGAAUCUUUUAUUCAGCCAUCUGAUCAUUGGCCAUUUGCUUGUCUCUGUGUUUGUCACAUGGACCAAGUGCAAGCAAUGCAGACUUCUUGCUGAUCGUGAACUUAACACAGCCACUUUGGAGAGCUCUCUUACUUGGCGAGUCCUUUCAGUCGAAUAUAUUCUAUUUCUAUUGGCUUAUGGCAGUUCUCUGAGGCAAAUAUAACAAUGGUUUUGAUGGUUGAAGACAGCAGAAAGAAGGGUAGGGCAGAUGAUUUCUUGUGUCUUUUAUGCACGGCGUACGGGAGGAACAUAAAGAUGGUUCAGUUCAGGUGUAUAGUGUGCAAGCUUUCAUUCCAAAAGAUCCUGCAGCACUUGUAAGUGCCGAAUUUGUACAAGCAGAAGAGUUUUUUUGUCAAUCUUUGACGAAUGAGAAUUGUUUGUGGGACAACAGGGGCUGACUAUCUUUGCUUUCAACAAAGGGAAGUUCAAUUCAAAGACCUUAAAUGAGCUACUAAGUUUAGGUCCCACUUUUGUAAUAAUGAAGUUUUUUGAGAGUGUACUGGACAUUGUCAUGAUGUAUGGGGCAUAUUCAACAACUCUUCGUUUAGCUGUGAUGAGAAUUGUUCUUCGUUUUCUUUGGUUUGGUGUUGCUUCAGCAUUUGUAUCAUAUCUUCAUGUUGAUAACCAUGGAGGAAGGGACUUCAAAAUCCAAAGUUUGUUUUCUACAAGACCUACAUCUUUGUUCUAAUUGCAUAUGCAAGUGUCCAGCUGGCCUUUAGCCUACUCAUGCGCAUUCCAGCUUGUCAUAGGCUGACAAACCGAUGUGAUCAAUGGCCUGUUAUGAGAUUUAUCAAGUGGAUGCAUCAGGAAAGACAUUAUGUUGGAUGAGGAAUGUAUGAGCGAACAACUGACUUUGUCAGUCGUAAACAUGAUGGAUGGAAAAGUGGAUGACCUGAAGCUUCUUUAUCGAUCAUAUUUAAUGCAAACUUUCAAUAAUGGGCAUAUUGAAGGAAAAAAAACGUGAAUGAGGUCAAAAAUGUGCUGAAACUUUGCGAUUUUGGUAAUGCCAUGUUUGCUGGGAAGAAUGAGAUUACACCAUAGUUGUAUCUCUGUUAUUCUUGGCUUGCCGUAUGACCAUGCUUUGGACAUAUAGGUCAGUUGGCUGCUGCUUGUACGAGCUAUAUACAGGAAAGGUCCUCUUCCCUGGACCAUCAAACAAUGACAUGCUUCGGCUUCAUAUGGAGUUAAAAGGUCCAUUUCAUAAAAAGAUGCUCAGGAAGGGAGCCUUUACAGAUCAUCAUUUUGAUCGGGAUCUGAAUUUCCAUGCCACUGAAGAAGAUCCUGUUACAAAGAAGGCUGUUAAGCGACUGCUUGUGAAUAUUAAGGCAAAGGAUUUUAGUAGUCUUAUUUCAUGCUAUACUGGUGAGGAUCCCAAGAUGCUGGCCAAUUUCAAAGAUAUGCUUGAUAGAAUUUUUGUGCUCGAUCCAGAGAAAAGAUUGACAAUAUCUCAAGCACUGAGCCAUCCAUUCACUACG